CAUAUACAUGUCAAAGUUCUGUUAGUGACUUUGAUAUCUUGAUGGUGUCCAGGUCAUGAAAUUUGAAGAUCUGAAGGAGCUUGGCAGUGAAGGAGCUGUUAAGGUUAUUAUUUUUAUGAACAAUUUUUGCUUAGCUUCUAUUACUUACUCCACAAACGUAAGUUGAAGGUUCAUAAUUAGAAGUAGUAGAGAAUAAAUAACAUGUGAUGAGAGAUGAACUGCUAAGACUAGGAUUUAAGUUCGCAUGCAAGAUUGAGGUAUGAGGUGUUGCAUAAGCCACAGUCCUGGUGGGCAAGCUCAUUGCAUCUUGAGCUGUGGCUGGUCUCUGGUUCAUAUACAAGUUUAUAUGUUGUGAUUGAACUUGUGAAAUGUUGGCUGGUUCUAGGUGCAUGACAUGUGUAUAUGACACACACAUAUAUAAUCUCACCUUUUUCCUUUUUGAUCAGGCUGCUGGAAAAUAUAGGCAGGAGGGGAAAACUUAUAUGGUCCAAGAUGGAGACGUAAUAUUUUUCAAGUUUAAUGUUUCUGGAGGUGGGAAGAAGUGAAAGAGUGUUUACUUGAGACAGGAGUCAAUAGUCGAGUGUGAGCACCCAUUCUUUUGAUGUAUGAGCUGCUUUUGUGGCAUAUCAAUAGGAAGAAGGAUUAAUAUAUACUAUGCCUCCUUAUUUGAGCACUAGCUGUUUUGUAGAAGAAACUUAUUUGCAUCCAUCACUUACAAUAUAUAAUUUAAAUAUAAUAAUUCAAGUCAUUGUAUUGUGUAAAAUAUUAUAUUCGUGUUAUAUUUUACAUGAAAAUCACAUAUUAUAAUUUGUAUUAAUAUAAAAAUAUAAAAUAUAAUUUUUUAAUUUUAUUAAAUUUUAUUUAUAAUUUUUUUAAAAUUUUAAAUCAUGAUAUUUUUGUAUAUUUUGUUUUUAUAUUUUUUAAUUAGUCAUGCAUGAAAUCCGAAUGCAAACUGAAAAUGCAUUUUCCUGACAGCUUGCUUUUAAUGAUGAGGCAUAGAAAAGCCUUCCUUUGAUCCAUCCGUCAAAGCCCGGUCCGACCAGGAAAACAAAAAAAACCCUGACUCCAUUUGUUUUCAAAAAAUAUAUAUGUAUAUAUUUGAAAAUGUUGAUUUUUUUAUAUUAAACAAAGUAAACAUGCCGAUUGGUGCAGGCAACGCUAGUACGAAAUUAUCAUCUCCUUUACCACGCAUUAAAGGGCAGCAGUUCUUAUACUUUAGCUUUAUUCUUUAUUCUUUUUUAAAUAUUAUUUUUGUAUUUAGGAUUCUUUGACAUUCAUUGUUGGGAGGACUUGGGGAGUUGACAAGGAAUAAACAACAUUCCUCUCCUCUCACUCAUUCACCAUCAUCAAGUCCACAUUCUAUUAACUCUGGGGACAUCCUCUCCACGUGUCAGCAACUAACGGUGGUAGUGGUGGACAAAGUGGGUGACAGUGGUCCCACUUUCCACACCAAUGUACAUCCCUCUAAUAAUGUUCCCACCCAACUCACCUCGCCUAGCCUACCCUUUUCUGUGUGUUUAUUGGAACUUAGGUAAAGGAAAAAAACCAAACCAAACCAAACCAAAUCAGAGAAGAGAAUAAAAAAAAAAAAAACCCUGGUUAAAGGGGCAUUGGUGAUCUGACCUCAAUGCUGAAGACAACCUUUAAACUGGAUUUGAUAAACCCUUUGACGUCCACCAUGUCAACACAGUUCAAAACCAACAAUAAUUAAUUAGUCCCUUCCCUCUCUUUUUCUUUGGCGGAUAAAUCCCUAAUUAAUUAGACUAAUGGUUAGAAGUUUUAAACAAACAAAAGAGACAAAGGAGAAUAGUAAAAGAGACACAGGAAAGCCUUUUUGGGGGAGUUUCUGGUCAUUGUUAUAAAAGAAAUUAGGGUUUUGGCCCUUUUAAAGUUGAACAACUAAAAUCUAUAUUGCUUUGAAAAGGUUAUAUAAUUUCAUGCCUAAUAAAGUAUAUGUGGUCUAUUUUGUUUACUAUUUCCCUUUUAGCUCCUCAUUUCGAGACCUGUUUCUUGUUUGAGUGAGCUCUUACCAGUGUGAAGCUCUUACAUUUUUGCUAGGAAAUGGUCUAGUUCGCUUAAAAGUCUUGGGCUUCUCACAUAACCUUUUCCUUUGAGCCUACAUUGUUGAUGGAUGUAGGGGUCUUGGUAAGAAAAAUGCUGCAUUGUCGGUUAGAUCUCUCCAUGGGGCCCAGUGUUUUUGCAGUUGAUUUUCAGUCAUUUAAUGCUUUAGCUUAGUUUGUGUAGUUAAAGAUAGUUCCUUGUUGAAAGUUAUCUCCAUCACUCAUUCCUGUUGGAGUCAGAAUCGGCUCUUUUGAGGCUUGUCUUUGUCAUAAUGUGCUCUUGUAUCAGGUACAUUGCUGUGUUACUCAUCACAUUUUCGGUUUUGCGUUGAACUCGUGAAUGUUGUUCAUUCCAUCUCCUCUGAAGGUGAAUGCUGCUUGUACUGAAGAGAGGGCUUUUAGAGUUACUCCUGCUUUUAGUGAAAUGGUUCUAAACUCGUUGAAUCUGUGGAUUUAAGAGAUUGAUGACUCUCUGUAGUAUCGUGCAAUUACCUUGUUCUUUAUGUAAAAGGAUUAUUACUGCAGAGAUUGAGGGGGAUUUUGGGCUUCUAUUUUGUGUUUUAAUCUUAACUUCUCUGAAAUUCAGUUUGUUGUAAUCCAAUCUCUGCAUUAGGGAGAGGAAACCCUCCGUUUAUUUCUGGUUUUUAACUUUUAGCUAACUUGGGAUUGAUAGGAUUAAUAUGAUGCUCUUUAAAAUUUUAGUGUUAUCCAUAUUUUUCCUUUCUGCCAUGGGGCAGCUUCCCUCACAGGACAUUCUGGCAUUGCUUGAAUUCAAGAAGGGUAUUAAGCAUGACCCUACGGGUUAUGUCCUUGAUUCAUGGAAUGAGGAGUCCAUCGAUUUCAAUGGCUGCCCUUCUUCUUGGAAUGGGAUUGUCUGUAAUGGUGGAAAUGUUGCUGGUGUUAUCCUUGAUAACUUAAGUCUCUCUGCUGAUGCAGAUUUGAGUGUUUUUUCAAACCUUACGAAGCUUGUGAAACUGUCCAUGUCAAACAACUCUAUUGCGGGUGUCAUUCCUGACAAUAUAGGUGACUUCAAAAGUCUUGAGUUUCUGGAUGUGUCAAAUAAUCUCUUUUAUUCAUCAUUACCACCGGGAGUUGGUAAGUUAGGGAGCUUACGGAAUCUUUCACUGGCUGGGAAUAACAUCUCAGGCUCAAUUCCAGAUACAAUUUCAGGGCUUGUUUCAAUCCAAUCUUUGGACUUGAGUCGCAAUUCCCUGUCCAGUUCACUGCCGACCUCAUUAACAAAACUGAAUGAGCUGUUGUAUCUAAAUCUAUCUUCCAAUCAGUUUACCAAGAGAAUCCCAAAAGGGUUUGAGCUCAUAUCUGGUCUUAAGGUGCUAGACUUGCAUGGGAAUAUGCUAGAUGGCAGCUUAGACGGGGAGUUUUUCCUUCUAUCAAAUGCCAGCCAUGUUGACUUUAGUAGGAAUAUGCUGCAGAGCUCUAGUUCGCAGAAAUUGCUCCCCGGUAUUUCUGAGAGUGUCAAGUUUUUAAAUCUUAGCCACAACCAACUUACUGGAUCAUUGGUUGGGGAAGCUGAGCUUCAGUUGUUUGGAAGUUUGAAGGUGUUGGAUCUAAGCUACAAUCAGCUGUCUGGAGAAUUGCCUGGAUUUAAUUUUGCAUAUGAUCUUCAAGUCCUUAAGCUGAGCAACAACAGAUUCUCAGGCUUCAUUCCUAAUGUCCUGCUGAAAGGAGAUUCUCUGCUUUUAACUGAGCUUGAUUUAAGUGGGAACAAUCUCUCAGGUAGCUUUUUAAUGAUAUUGCUAGUUUGCUACUUCAUCCUACAGUGGAAUGCUAAAAAGCUUGAAUAUGUGAAUUUUUUUGCCAACUUAUGAAUUGAACUUAGUUGCUUUGUCCGGUUUUCUGCAUUCUACCAUUCCUUAUACUUCCUGGUUUAUUUUUCAGGGCCAGUAUCCAUUAUCAUGUCAACAAAUCUGCAGAUUCUCAAUCUUUCUUCAAAUGUGCUCACAGGGGAACUUCCUUUACUGACCGGAAGUUGUGCUGUACUUGAUCUAUCAAAUAACAAAUUAGAAGGAAAUUUAACAAGAAUGUUGAAAUGGGGGGAUAUUGAAUACCUUGAUCUUAGCCAUAAUCUUUUGACAGGGUUGAUUCCUGAGGUAACUCCCCAAUUUUUGCGUUUAAAUCAUCUCAACCUCUCACAUAAUUCCCUUAGUAGCCCUCUACCAAAAGUGAUAAUGCAGUACCCAAAGCUUAGAGUCCUUGAUCUUAGUUUCAACCAAUUGGAUGGACCUCUUUUAAAUGACAUACUAAACUUGGCUACUUUGGAAGAACUUCAUCUUGGGAAUAAUUUAAUUUCUGGUGCCAUUGAGUUAUCUCCUCCAAGUGAGUCCAACCUCCAUGUUCUUGAUCUCUCUCAUAAUUGGCUUAAUGGCUAUUUUCCCAACCAAUUUGGGUCAUUGGCUGGACUUCAAGUGCUCAAUCUUGCGGGCAAUAACUUAUCUGGUUCUCUGCCAACUUCCAUGGCUGACAUGAACUCGCUAAGCUCAUUAGAUAUAUCCCAGAAUCAUUUUACUGGAUCUUUACCAAACAAGACCCCUAACGGGCUUCAAAGCUUUAAUGUUUCCUACAACGAUCUCUCUGGAGUUGUCCCAGAAAAUCUGAGGAAGUUCCCUACUUCCUCCUUCUACCCUGGAAAUUCUAAGUUGCUUUUUCCUAGUGGUCCUUCUGGAUUGAACAAUGCCCCUGCUGAACAUUCCAAGAAGAAACCGAUUAACACAUUUGUGAAAUGGGUGAUUGUGGUGUCAUGUGUGGUUGCUCUCAUCAUUCUCAUCCUGCUUGCUAUAUUCAUACAUUACAUCCGUAUAUCAAGGAGAACUCCUCCGGUGCAUUUUACAAGUAAAGAUGUUCGCAAGCAAGCACCAACAAAUUCUAGCAUUGUUGGGACUGAGAGUGGGGGUGCUUUGGUUGUUUCAGCAGAUGAUCUUGUGACUUCAAGGAAAGGAUCAUCAUCUGAAAUUAUCAGUCCCAGUGAGAAAAUGGCAGCUGUGACUGGCUACUCUUCUUCAAAGACCGGCCAUUUAUCUUGGUCACCAGAGUCUGGAGAUUCAUUAACUGCUGAGCACCUUGUAAAACUGGAUGUAAGAACACCAGAUCGAUUGGUUGGUGAGCUGCAUUUUCUUGAUGAUACAAUCACAUUGACACCUGAGGAGCUGUCAAGGGCUCCAGCAGAAGUUUUAGGAAGGAGCAGUCAUGGGACUUCUUACAGGGCAACAUUGGAUAAUGGAGUCUUCUUGACUGUGAAGUGGCUCAGAGAAGGGGUGGCAAAACAGAGAAAAGAAUUUGCUAAGGAGGCUAAAAAAUUUGCAAACAUUAGGCAUCCUAAUGUGGUGGGUUUGAGAGGAUACUAUUGGGGGCCCACCCAGCAUGAGAAGCUGAUUCUUUCUGAUUAUAUCUCACCUGGAAGUCUUGCAAGCUUUCUUUAUGGUAAUUGUUUACCCUCUAGCUUUUCAACAAAUUAUUUGCGCUUCUCUUAUUAGAACACUGCUUAUCAAAAAACAUAAGAGUGAAGGGGGGAUAGUGGAAAUCUUUUUGUUUGAUCUAACUUUUAUUUCACCUUCACUGUCAUAUGCGGGUACUUUCAUAUGCUUGGUCCUUUUCUCCUUUCAGUGUGGUACCUCUUUGUCAAGGUUUCAGUAUAAAAUCCAGAUCCAUAUAUAGACCUUUAAUUACUGCUACUUGAAAAUGGAGGGGCUUAGUCCCAUGCUUCUGAGAAGACUGGUCUGGAACAACAUUAUUUUUGCAAAAUCAAACUGUUUAGGUUGCUGGUAGUUUAGCACAAAAUAAAUGUAGCUGCUUUACUACUUACAAGGUUUCUAAACUUUUAUACCAAACUUUCUGAUUUAGAUAACUUGUCUUGCAGGGCAUGUUUACCAGGGGUAUAUGGGUGUAGCAUAGAUGAAAACAAUUAAAACAAAACCAUUAAAGCAGUUAGUUCUCUACUUUAUUUUUUUGGGGCCAUAUCAGAAGAGAUGUAUCUUUGUUGGAUACAAAUGUGUUUGUUUUAAUUUUUUUUUUUUUGAAAAUUCAAAUGUGUUUGCUUGCUUCUUACAAUCUUUUUAUUGAUGCAUUGCAGUUGGCACAGUUGAGUUAAUGUGCUAUGAAUUAGUACUGUUCAUUAAUCCUGUCUAGUUUUUUCAGUUGUAGCCAAUAGAAAAAUGGUUCACUAGUUGGGUUUCAAGUGGUAAAGUUGUUUUCUUCUCUGUUCCUAUAUCUUAAGAAACUUCUGCAUGGAUAGACGAGUUCUUCUACUCUCUUACUAUUGCCUCCUCCAUUUGUUUUUCUUCUUUCAUUGAUGAUUGAAGGAAUAGAUUAUUUAUGAUAUGAUAUGAUAUUGUCUUUCAUGCUUCCCUUUUUGAUACUCUUUUCCUAGCUUUUAUGUAAAAUAGAUUUUGAUCAUGUCACUUUUUAUAUCUUAGCAAAAUAGUAUGUAAAAGUGACAAACAAUAUAUUCAUAUGAGAGACAUCAUUUAGUUAUUGCAUGUUUUUGAACAUGAUGAUGAUAAAAUUAUAAUAUUUGUAACUUCUAUAGAUUUGGCUUACUUUCAUUCUCGUUACUAAUGAUCACAUCUAAUAUAACAUUUUCAGAUCGACCAGGAAGAAAAGGCCCACCUUUAUCCUGGGCACAGAGGCUGAAAAUAGCUGUUGAUGUUGCACGUGGCCUAAACUAUCUCCAUUUUGACCGUGCUGUUCCACACGGUAACCUAAAAGCAACAAACAUACUAUUAGAUGGGCCUGAUCUUAAUGCACGUGUUGCUGAUUACUGCCUACACCGCCUCAUGACACAAGCUGGCACCAUGGAACAAAUUCUUGAUGCUGGUCUCCAGGGUUAUCGCGCACCAGAGUUAGCUGACAGCAAGAAACCGCUGCUUUCCUUUAAGUCAGAUGUUUUUGCAUUUGGAGUGAUUCUGUUGGAACUUCUAACUGGCAAAUGUGCUGGUGAUGUAAUUCCCGGGGAAGAGGAAGGGAUUGAAUUGACAGAAUGGGUGCAGUUGAGGGUAGCAGAAGGCUGUGGCUCAGAUUGCUUUGAUUCUGCCUUGGCGCAAGAGAUGGGGAAUCCAGCUACUGAGAAGGGAAUGAAGGAGGGCCUUGGAAUAGCAUUAAGAUGUGUACGAUCUGUCUCCGAGAGGCCAGGUAUCAAGACUAUAUACGAAGAUCUUUCUUCUAUAUAAUCCAUUUUUUAUAUCUAAAUUUAAUAUUCAGGGAAUUUAACAUCUCAUUGGCCUCCCUUUUUGAGUAUUUUCAUUUGGCAUAUGGAACAGCUGAUUUCCAUUCAAAAUUUGUUGUAAAAAUGAAGCACGAUAUGAAUGGAUAGAAAAGUUUCAACUCAGUGCUGGUUCCCAUAAUGGCCUUCUUUUAAGGCUUUCAAUAAUAAAAUUCAGUUUGAUCUUCAAAUGAGUUUCAGAUUUACUAUAAGUUGUAUGAAGAACCUUAUUAUAUCCACUGAAAUUAUGUUUUUGAGGCAAGAUUUACACUCACGCUAGAGCUGUUAAGCCCUUUUGCUUUCAGCAUGAGUUUCUGGACAAUGAGCUCAAAGUCUGGCAAAUAUAAAAGUCCUCAAGUUGUCAACUAGCAGCCAGUUGGUUUCAGUGAAUGAGCUCAAAAACACACUUAUUUUGGAUGCUCCUCUUUCAUUCAUAUAUCAUAAUCUUGAUUUUUUUUUUUUUUUAAGUUUCAGAUGUUAAUCAAGUUUAAGUUUGGGCCAUUGAUUAUUUCAAGUUAUUUGAUUUCAAAUGUUAGUCAUUCAUUGAAUUAAAUGAGAAAAAAAUUUGAUUAGUCUAUUUGUAUAAAUUGUCUGAAGAACUUUAUUUGUUAUAUAAAAAAAUAUAUAUGAGCAUAUAUAUUGCAUUAACGUUAUUUGUUAAAUUUUCAUUGAUUUGCCUUUCCGAGCCCAGCUAUAUCUUGAGUUUCUAUUCUUUGUUCCUCGUAAAGAAGCACUGUAAUUUGUAAUUAAAUUCAAAACUUAAUUUCAUUGAUUUAUAUAAUUAUUUUUAAAAAUUAAUAUAAACAGAUUUAAUAUUGAUAUUUAAGGCUUGUAAUUAAGGUUUUUUUUUAAAAUAUCUUAAGUGCAAUUGAGGAAAAUAAAUUUGCUCAUUAAGAAUAUAACAAAUGUGGCAAUUCAAAUUUCUUCAAAUAAUAAUUAAUAAAGAAAUGAAACAAUAAACAAUAAUUUUCAAAUUAGAUUUCAGGAUUGUAAAGCGAAAAUUAUGAUCCCAACUUAAUGGUGAAGCGAAAUAAAUAAUCUAAAGUUAAGGUUAGAUCAACAAUAAAUAAAAAUUAUUUAAUUUUUAUAAAAAGUUCAAAUUCUUAAAAAAAAAAAAAAAAUUAUAAAUGAUGAGAUCGAAGCUAACGUUUGUACACCAACCUUUUCACUCUGAUAAAAAACGCUAAACCCUAGAGCAUAUACCUGAUGUGAUGUUGACUUAUUUGGUGCUAAUACAGUGGUUUAGGAAAUAAGAAUCAAACUACUUAGUUUGGAAAUUAAGAUUUUUCAGUUACCUUUUUUUGAAAAAAAAAGAAAAAAAGAAAACUCAUUUUUUGGCUUUCUCUACAGCCAGGGCUCACUUGUGUGGCUCAGUGAACUGCAGCAGCCGCCGCCGCCAUCGUCACCCACCGGGUAAUCUUAUCAUCAUAAAUAAAUUCUACAAAUAUUUUUAUAUAAUCAGUUGAUAUUGAUACAUUAAUUUGAGUUGAAGGUGGUUAUGGAUUCUCAGCUUCUACGAAUUAACGGAACCGAUCUUUCUAUUAAACCAACACACUCUUCCCAUUUUCGUUCUUUCACUGCCCCUAAUUUGAUCCGUCUUUCAUCGAUCGCUUUUCCUACAGGUACUUACUUUUCCUUUUUGAAUUUCUUAAAUGGUAUUUCAGUUGCUUAGUUGAUAUGAAAAUGAUUGGUGUUUGUUGCAUUUGGCUCAGUAGUUGUUUCAUGAAUCUCUUUUAUUCUAAAAUUUUUUGUACUUGUACUUGAUAAAAAGACGUGUUUCAUUGUGUUCAAGAGACUGUUAGGUUCCGGUUGUAUGGUUUGAUUCAAGUAUAUACUGCUGUAAAUACAAGUUUAUGUCAAAAUUGGUAUAUAUGUAAUUCAUAGUAUAGAUGGUAUCCAUUCAUUACAGCUGAUGAAUGUUUGUAUUUUGAUAGCAGGUUUCUUUUUCCCUGCUUCUUGGAUAAAUAAAAUUGCCAUUUAUCCCAAAAAAAAAAAAAACUUGUUCACUAGUCUACGCACCUAAUUUAGGACACUUUGCAAAACAUUUAAUUUUUUUCUAUAAUGGACCACUAUUACAGGAUUGGCUUGUAAGAGAAUAAGGUGUGCAAUGAAGUCUUAUAAGUUAUCAGAACUUAGUCAUGCUGAGUUAGAAAGCUUGAAGGCUCGUCCUCGCAUUGAUUUUUCUUCUAUAUUCGGCAUGGUGGGCCUAUCUUUUCUUUCCUGUGUCAUCUUUUCCUCUUUGCUCAUACAUUAUCUUUAUUCAAUCCCUGCCAGUUUUUAAUGUUCAUAUAUGAUAUACCUCUCAGAUCCAACCAAUAGUUGAUGAUGUCCGCAGCAGAGGCGAUGCUGCAGUUAAAGCGUCGGUGCUGCUGUCAAUCUUUACUUGCUCUUUUUUUUUUUUUCCUGUGAGCAUUUUCAGUAAUGUGGUUAUGCAUGUGGUUAUUUGCAAGUAUAUUUCUUUUGCAGUUAUACUGAAAAGUUUGAUAAAGUUAAGCUACAGAAAAUUGUUGAAAAUGUCUCGGACCUUCCUUAUCCUGAGGUAUUCUUUUUGAAAAAUUAUUCUUCUUGAAAUCUCAUCAAACCUCUAAUUUGUUUCUUCAGUUUAUUUUAUCUCCAUUGCUUUUUUCUUGCUAUGCUGCCAUGUCUCAGCUUGACCCAACUAUUAAAGAGGCAUUUGAUGUGGCAUACGACAACAUAUAUGCAUUUCAUCUUGCCCAAAAGUCUGCUGAGAAAAGUGUUGAGAACAUGAAAGUAAGUUAGUAUUACUGCUUUGUUAUUGUAUCUUUCAUUUAUUUUCAACAUAAUAAAUAUUUUCAUACUCUGAUAGGGUGUUACAUGCAAAAGGGUGGCUAGGAGUAUUGGUUCUGUUGGUCUUUACGUACCAGGGGGAACUGCUGUUUUGCCUUCAACUGCUCUAAUGCUUUCUGUUGUAAGUUGAUCAAAUGAAUUACAUUAAUUAUAUCUCUAGUUCUCUGUCUGUUUUAACGGUUUAUUUGACAUUUGGUUUAUUCCUCACUCCAGCCUGCACAGAUUGCCGGAUGUAAAACUGUUGUUCUAGCAACUCCUCCAGGCCAAGAUGGCAGUAUAUGUAAGGUAUUUUUGUUUUUUUCUUUUAUAGAAAUAGCAUAUAAAGAGAGAGAGCUGAUCAGGAUUUUGCUAUAGGAGGUACUAUAUUGUGCUAAGAAGGCUGGUGUAACUCACAUUCUUAAAGCUGGCGGAGCUCAGGUCUGAAGAUAUGCUUACAUUCUGCAUUUGAACUAUUGUUUUUAGUAUUUUUUUUACAUUCCUAUCAGAUCUUAACCUUUUUUUUCUUAAAAAAACUGAAUUUUACAGGCCAUUUCUGCAAUGGCCUGGGGAACAGAAUCUUGCCCAAAGGUAAUGAUUCCUCAUCAACUUUUUCUCAGUUAUUGGGUUUUAGAUAUCUACGGCAAUUUUUUGAAGAUGAAUGAGUAGUGAUUUCUCUUGUGUUUCCUGUCAGUAAUUUAUUAAUCAGAAACUAAGAGGCUUUUCUUUUGAGCUUAAUUGAUUUAUCAAAUUCUUUUAUAUGUUCUUACUAAGCUAUCUCUAACUGAGUUUUAUGCAUUGUGUUUCUCUGUGACGAAUCUGUGUUUUAUGUAUGAUGUCAUGCCAACUGGCUGGGGAAUUGCACUAGAAGCCUUCAGUUAUUUGUGUUGAGUGUAAUUUAAUUAAUCCUUUAAAAAAUGCAAAUCUUCAGCAAGACUCAUCAUGCAAAGUCAAUUUCCCUUGCACAUCUUUCUCUAUUUGCCUGUGUGUGGAUAAUAGCAUGCUGAUGUAAAUAACAUAGUUAGUUAUGACAAAAUAUUGAUUUUAAAUGAAGGAUGUUGAAAUGCCAUUAGAAAAUCAUAAUGAUGAUCAGAAAGCUCAUUUAAAAUCAAUGUAAUAACUUGUAUAUGAUCAGAAAGCUAUACAGGAGGUUUAUGGUCCAGUUUGUUACCGUUGAGCAUGUAUACCAGACUAAACAAAGUCUUGAUGAGUUGUUCAAGACUUCAAAUAUGAUUAGUUGUUGAAGGCAAGAUAACUCAGACAAGAUUUGAUUUUAGGAAGAAAGAUAAGAUUUGAUUUAUCAUGAUUGGAUCUUUUUCAGCUUUUUAUUGGUGUUAAUGGUUUUGCCUUUGUUGCAGGUUGAGAAAAUUUUUGGACCCGGAAAUCAGUAUGUAACAGCUGCCAAAAUGAUUCUCCAAGUAAGUUCAGUUUACUAGCUCUUAGAACUUGUACAUCAGUUUGAUCCAAUCGAAGAAAGUUGUAGAAACGCAUUUUCCUCAAUUUUGAUUUGAUUCUAUCUUCUGUUUCUAUUUCCUCAUAGAAUAGUGAGGCUAUGAUUUCAAUUGACAUGCCAGCUGGCCCUUCAGAAGUUCUGGUUAUUGCUGACAAACAUGCCAGUCCUGCACAUAUAGCUGCAGAUUUGCUCUCCCAGGUUUUCACCUUUUUCUUCUUAGUUCUAAUUAGCUACUUUUUUACUUAAAUCUUAUCUUGAGGCGUUUGUGAUCAUUUGUCUUUACUAUAUUGGUGAGUGGUGAAAUUACCGAUCUCAAGUUUUCUGCUGUUCCAUGAAAUUCUCCAUCAGGACAGCAAAGGUUUGUAAUUUAGAUGAUUCAUAAUGCAUGGUGAGGUUGAUGGCUAUAGACUUAUAUCCUUCAUAGGACUUUCUUUUGGCCUUUAUCAUGAACUUGUAAGGGGUAUGAUGACUUUCUUUCUGCAAAUCAAGAUAAAAGAACCUCACAAGUUCAAGGUUGUUUUUGCAUUUAUGAUCUUUAGUGUUGUUAUCGCUCGAUUGAGUUUAAAGGGUUGCUUGAUUGGGUUGAAAGAAAAUGGUUGCUUGGUCUCCGGUUGAAAGAGAAAGAAAAAUGAAAGAGAAAUUAAAGCGAAAUGCUAGCUUGUAAUUUCCAAGCUGGCAUUUUCAAGCAUGAAAAUCCCACAUCUGCAGUCCAUCUAGGCAAAAAAAAGAAGGGCCACAUCAGCAACAUGAUGGUGGAGUGUUAACUCUUAAAAUUUGGACUGAAUUUCACACUCUGAAAAGUAGAGGGACUUGAUUUGAUCAAAUUAUUGUAUAGGGACUAAAUCUUGAUUUUGGCCAGAGUACAUGGACUAAUCUCAGAAUUUGACCUUUUAGUAGACUUUUUGUUUGUGUUGUAAUUUUCAGUGACAUUCCGAGUCACAUGUGCAUGUGUUUUUAUAAUUAUCCCUUGUUUCCUACUUUUCAAAUUUCCUGAGUUUUAAUUUUCAUUUUAAAAUGGAGGAUUAUUUGAAACCCAGAACUUGCAAAGUAGACUGUUCAAUCCCUUGUCUAGUGACACCCAUGUUAGACACUUCUUUUGUUCCAUUGUCGUUAGAAAAUAUUCUAUACUAAAUUGGAGAGUAAAGCAUAGUCUUGAUAACUAACUUGCUGCUUUUAUGCCCCAAAGGGAUGUGUCACUGGUUAAACUUGGGAUUUUCAGUUCACAACCAUCAAAUUUGAACCUGGGGAAGGGAGGGUAGGACUAUGGGGAAUAGAACAUGGUUGUCUUCCUUUCUACAGCCCAAGGUCCAGUUUGACUUAAUCUGUACAAAACAUUAAAAAAAUCCUGCUUCUCUUGGACCUGAUGUAUUAAUUGAUAAAAUCUGCUAUUUUCAGGCUGAGCAUGGCCCUGAUAGCCAGGUUGUUCUUGUAAUGGCUGGUGAGGGUGUGGAUCUUAAAGCUAUUGAGGAUGAAAUUAGUAAACAGUGCCAAAGCCUUCCAAGGGGAGAUUUUGCUUCAAAAGCACUAAGCCAUAGUUUCACUGUUUUUGCUCGUGAUAUGGUUGAGGUUAGUUUUCAUUUUCCUGUCUUGGUGCCCAGAGCUCACACUAAUCUAUUUUGAUCCCCUACUUGCAUGCAAUAUCUUCAGAUGGUGAAAAUUUAUCAAAGUUUUCAGGACAAGCUUUUAUUGCAUCAAGACUUGGAUAAUGUGUAACCCUGCUUUCACCAAAAAUGUCUAAAAGCUAGAAGUUCCAACUUUUUCCAAAUUUGGGUUUAUUUCUGAUUUGGAUCUUGCAAUUAUACAAUUCAAGUAUAGAAAAUAUCUUGUAUUCUGUUUUAUGGAAUUUCAUGAUCAUUUUCCUUUAGGCAAUCUCCUUCUCGAAUUUAUAUGCACCAGAGCACCUGAUCAUGAAUGUGAAGGAUGCAGAAAAAUGGGAUGGUUUUGUUGAGAAUGCUGGUAUUUUUAUAAACUGCAUCUUUUGGCUAUAUUGUUUUAUUAUAGUUUUUUUCUUCUUGUCACAAUAACCAUUGUGAUGGCUGUUAGUUUCUACCUUGAUAAUUCCCCUUUUUAGUUUGUUGCUAUGUCACUACAACAUUAUUUUGGUCAAUUAUUUGAAUGUGUUUUACAUAUGCUCCUGCUGGUUUCUCAUUUGCAUCUUUAAAAUUUUCCUACUUGUUUUAUACAUGCAUUAUGUAAUUGGUUUGAGAUCCAAGUAGAGAACAUUCAAUAUAUAUGUAUUUUCAUGCUUCAAUUAGGAAGUCUUAAUGUCAUACAUUUGUUGGAAAGCUGUUGAUAGGAAUUCUUAAUGCAAUAUACAUGUAUUCUCAUGCUUUGAUCAGGAUGUCUGAAUGAUACAGAUUUGUUAGAAAGCUUUUGAUAGCUGUUCUGAAUGCAAUAUUUGUGUAUUAUCAUGCGUUAUGUUUCCUUCUUAACCGUCACCUUGAGCCAAAGAAAACACAAUGUUAAAAUUGACCUGUAAACAUGUAUCCCAUUUAUAUAAAUUUGACAGUAAUUACUGUUAAGUUUUAGGCUGUUUUAUGCUGACAUUAAUGUUUAAUGUCCUACAUCCACAUUUGUUGGGUCUACAUGUAAUCUACAUAACAAGUUUUCUGCUGCCAAACUAUAUUUGUUUUGCAUGAUGGCCAUUUUCAUUAAAUGCUUUGUCUUUGCUCCUGCAGGUUCAGUGUUCCUAGGGCAGUGGACGCCAGAGAGUGUGGGAGACUAUGCAAGUGGGACAAACCAUGUUCUUCCAACAUAUGGCUAUGCAAGGAUGUAUGGUGGGGUGUCACUUGACUCUUUCCUUAAGUACAUUACUGUACAAUCUCUGACAGAGGAAGGCCUAAGAAAUCUUGGCCCAUAUGUGGCCACCAUGGCUGAAGUUGAGGGGCUUGAUGCUCACAAACGAGCCGUGACUCUCAGACUUGAAGAUAUUGAGGCCAAGCAUGCUUCUAGUGUGAGAUGAUGAUGAAUGUCAAUCAUAUUGGGUGCUGUUUUAUCUUGUAUGAUAGAGCAAAAAGUUGUCUUUGCAAUGGAGUUUGAUUGUUAUAUUGUAACAGAUAAUCCCCUUCACUGCUAGCUAUGAAGGUGGUCUAGAGAUUUAGAUAUAGUUUAAUUUUCCAUUUCAUUGAAUGAUUCCAAAGAAACUAAACUAAUGAAUGGAGUUUAAUUUCCAUUUCAGUGGACGUCACUAAAGAAACUCAUGAAUGGACAAAAAUCAUGACUCUAAUUGGAAGUUUUCAAGCUUAGUGUCACGGGUCGAGACUUAAGUGUUGAAUUCGUGCGAUUUUAGGAUUCGGACAUUCAAUCAUCCGACGUUUUAGAUCAGUCUAACUGUUACAGUUCAUACCUUUGUAAGGUAUUAUUUGUUCCGGUUCUCUUGAUUUUACGGUUUUGUCUUAUAAAAAGCGUCUUACAUUUACCUAUGUAUCUUGGGGUUUAUAGCUCAGAUCAUCCACGCACAAUAUCUCUAACAUAUUCUCAUGCUCAGAACGUUUGCACACUGCUUCCACUGAUAGCACUCGUCAGGUUACUUGGCUUGAGGGUGUUUGAUCACUGUUUCGAACUUCCUCGUGUAUCUUGCAGUCUAGGGCUCUCACUGUUCGCACAACAUGUUAGUAACAUGUUUCAAAGCUCUAAAUGCACGCCCGUGUAUCUUAAAAUCACUUUCCCGCCAGCUUGAUCUCGAUCGCUGCUCGGUUCAGGAUCAGUCAUGGCAGGACCAAGGCCUGGCCAUGACACUCUCCCCCACUUACUAUGUCGAUGCCCUCAUCGACGCCAAGACCACACCUAACUCUCUUGUUGCACACAGCUGACAUUUGUUCAUAUGUCUCUCACUUGUGCCCUCAAGGAUUGGAUCGAGGUCCCGUCACAUGGGGCACCGCCCACAGUACUCAUCCAUUGUUGAUGUAGAUUGGUCACGUUGUCGCACUCAUGCUGCUCUGCUCUGAUACCAAAUCUAUCAUAGUCCGCGCGUUUUUCAUUCUGAAACUACGCAUCUGUGCGGCACCAAGAUUACUCUUAGUCAAGGUCAGCCUUCACCUAAUCCAUAUUUCCUUGGAUAGAUCAAUUUUCGAUCCUUCGAGUCGCAUACCCAUGAGCCUUUUCUGGCUUCAACCCCGUAGGGUCGCUCAUUCCGAACUCUAUAGAGAAGAACCCAAACUCUCACUGCGCACUAGCCCACGAUUCUCAAAGUAGCCUCGAGCACCCAGCUCUACCCGCAGGGCUUUGGAUCUAGAGCAUCGAUCCUCGGGUGCUCAUAGGGACACCCAGUCCCGAUUCUCAUGGUAUUAUUACUUCUUGACAUGGUGAGAACCCAACACCAUGUCCGCUCAUAUCGUACGCAAGCUCCCAUAUCAAGUUUAUGCAAGCGCCACAUGUAAGCUGAUCAGUAGCCAGCUCGGAGCCUCUAGGCUUAUCUUGUCCCACGAGACUCAGUUUUUAAGGCUUAGGCCCUUAGCAUCAGUAUCGGUCACCCGCACGCAUAAUUGACACCCAACAUCAUGCUAGUCCCGCAAGGGAGACUCGGGUGGACUGUCUCAGCUGCAGCCUAUCUCUACCGAUUAGCCGUAGGGGUUUAACAGCGUGCCUGCCUACCAGCCCACACAUCAUUCAGGCUCGAUGGUAUCCCUCAUAGGCAAACACCAUCACAUGAUCCUUUCGGCUCAAGGAGGAAAAAUCGAAGGGCAUAACGAUCUCUACCAUGUAACCCCAUGGCUCAAUGCAAAGGCGCGAUAUGAGGCCCGUUGGCCCCAAUCGACCUCGGGUUUACCGUGACCCGAGGAAACAUUGUGCCACACUCGUGACUCUACGAUGCCCGCCCACCUAGCCACCACCAGUGAGUAGGAGUAGCUCACUUUAGACUAGCCAGGCCUCCGUCUGUCCACUAGCCAAAGGGGUGGUGGAGAGCUGACACUAGUCAUCCCCUUAUAAAGAGCGUAAGAGAUUUUCUCAGUCUCCUACUAGUGACCGUAAGAUUGUCCGAAAUGAGGACACUUUUCUCUCCAGCCAUCUCAGGGCCUUUCUUCGACUAACUCAUGGCCUCAUAACCUUUCUCUUAGUCGCUCAUUGGUCUUGCCAUGACUGAUUCUGAACCGAGCAGUGGUCGAGACCAAGCGGAUGAAAAAGUGGUUCUAAAAGACGAGGGUGUGCAUUUGGAGCUUUGAAACAUGUUACUAACAUGUUAUGCGAGCAGUGGGAGCCCUGGACCGCAAGAUACGUGGGAAAGUUCGGGACAGUGGUCAAGCACUCUUAAGCCAAGUAGUCUAGCGGGUGCUAUCAGUGGAAGCAAUGUGCGGCGUUCUGAGCAUGGAAAUAUAUUAGGGAUAUUGUGCGUGGAUGGUCUAAGCCACAAACCUCAAGAUACGUAGGUAAGUGUGAAAUGCCUUUUGUAGGAUAAAACCAUGAGGCUAGAGGGGUCAGAGCGAAUAAUACCUCACAAGGGUAUGAACUGUGGGAGUUGGGCUGAUCUGAGACGUCGGAUGAGUGGAUGCUCGGGUCCCGGAGUCGCGUGGGUUCGGAGCUUAAGUCUCGACUCGUGACAAAUGGUAUCAGACCUUGGUUUGGCUUAGUGGUGAGAUUUACAUGACCCCUUUGUGCGGGUCGAGUGACGUGAAAUCAAGGUAGUGCCAAGCUCAAGAGGAGCUAUUAAGACGCAAAUGCGGUUCUGUGGCUGUGGAGGCUCGAAAGGGAGCCAACGAUGCGUGCUGUGGGAAAAAUUGGGCCUAUGUAAAAAGACUCUCAAGUAGGCUCUUGGAUGCUAAGCAAAAGGGCAUAGAAGUCUACCUUCACCUAGAAAAAGGUGUUGGCAUAUGUUGGGGCAUGUGAUGCCUUCACGGUGGAAGGAAUCGUAAUGAGACCAAGAUGCGAAAAGGGGCUUACACCAUGAAAUGGUGUUGCGUAAGGCCAUGUAGGCCGAGUGAAUCUUGUCCUGAGGGGCAAGAGGUAUUGAGUUUCAAGAUUAAUUACUAAUGUGUGCACUUGCUGCAUGGUGCAGGUGCCCCAGCGGGUGUGCAAGCCGAAGUAUUUGAAUCCAAGCAUGGAGUCCUUACAUAAAAGAGUAUGGAGUGGAUAAAGAUUGAAGCCACAAAUGGAAUGGUCGGUGGACCAUGAGCUGCGUUGGUCAGUGGACCAUGAGUUCUCGUGGUCAGAGGAUCACGAUAGUGUGUGAAUCAGUGAGUCGAGUCUGUGUUGGUCGGGAGGGAAGGCUUCAUAUAUAGUAGUGAUCAGUGAACCACGACAGAGGGUAAUCUAGUAAAAUAGACAAUUGGGAAAUGGCCAGUUGACAAGGCCUUCAGAUGGUGUGGGUCGAUGGACAUUGAGAAUUGAGUGGGUUGGUGAAUCCUCGAGUCGAGCAAAUUAAUGGCCUAGGCGUUUAGUUGGAUCAGUGGAUCUUCAAGUAUGAGCGGAUUUUGAGAUGUCAUAGGAGCCAUGCUAGAGUCAAGGCAGAUGAGCAGUAGAUCCAUCGAGGAGACAUGGUUGCUUAUAAUGCUAAACCAAGUUUCGAGUAAAAGUGAGGGAGACGCGAUUUCCCUGUGGGACGAAGUCAAGACAGAGGAGUUCGAGCUGAUGGAGCUUAGUGUUCGAGCUAGGAGCAAAGACCGAAUCAGAAUGCGUUAAGGUGCCGUCUCGAGGGCGGUUGGCUAGAGGGCCACACCUAGAGAGGUGACCUUGGAAGGGUCGAGAGGACCCAAGUUGAGAGAUGACCAAAGUGUCUGAAUACCACUGUGCUAAGGUCUAUCAUGUGGGGUGUUGUAUGAGUGUGAUUGACCUAAGCACCACGUCCAAAGGGGCGCAUCAAGAGUUGAUGCUGCAAGAGUGCAGUCGGUGUGAGGGGUCACGUCCAGUGGGAUGCAUCGAUGAGUGGCAAAGUGGGUGGUCAUUCAUUGUACUAAAGGUCAUUGAUCAAUGAGGGUGCCUCGAGGUCGUAACAUGCAUGAUCAAGAGAUGAAACAAUGGUAUGGCCCAUAUGAAACAACCAAGAUAAGGUUAGACGGUUCGAGCUGGAACAGAGCAGAGCGACAUGAGUGCGGUAACGUGACCAAUCUACAUCAACAAUGGACGAGUACUGUAGGCGGUGCCCCAUGUGACGGGGCCUCGAUCCAAUCCUUGAAGGCACAAGUGAGAGACAUAUGAGCAAAUGUCAGCUGUGUGCAACAAGAGAGUUGGGUGUGGUCUUGGCAUCGAUGAGGGCAUCGACAUAGUAAGUGGAGGAGAAUGUCAUGGCCAGGCCUUGGUCCUGCCAUGGCUGAUCCUGAACCGAGCAACUGUCGAGACCAAGCUGGCGGGAAAGUGGUUUUAAAAUACGCGGGCGUGCAUUUGGAGCUUUGAAACAUGUUACUAACAUGUUGUGCGGGCAGUGGGAGCCCUGGAUUGUAAGAUACGCGGGGAAGUUCGGGAUAGUGGUCAAGCACCCUCAAGCCAAGUAGUCUGACGGGUGCUAUCAGUGGAAGCAGUGUGCGGGCGUUCUGAGCAUGAGAAUAUGUUGGGGAUAUUGUGUGUGGAUGGUUUGAGCCAUAAACCUCAAGAUACGCAGGUAAGUGUGAGGCGCUUUUUGUAAGAUAAAAUCGUGAUGCCAGAGGGGUCAGAGCGGAUAAUACCUCACAAGAGUAUGAACCGUGGCAGUUAGGUUGAUCUGAGACGUCGGAUGAGUGGAUGCCCGGGUCCCGGAGCCGGGCGGAUUCGAAGCUUAAGUCUCAACCCGUGACAAGGUGUUUUCUCGGGUCACAAUAAACCCAAUGGCGGUUGGGGCUAGCGGGCCUCGUAUCGCGCCUUUGCGUUGAGCCAUGGGGUUACACGAUAGAGAUUAUUAUGCCCCUCGGUUUCCCUUCCUUGAGCCGGAAGGAUCAUGUGAGGGUGUUUACGUAGGAGGGAUACUAUCGAGCCUGAGGGAUGCGCGGGCUGGCAGGCAGGUACGUUGCUAGACCCUUGCCGCUAAUCGAUAGAGGUGGGCUGUAGCUGGGACAGUCCACCCGAGUCCUUCUUGUAGGACUAGCAUGAUGUUGGGUGUCAAUUAUGCAUGCAGGCGGCCGAUACUGAUGCUAAGGGCCUAAGCACUAAGAAUCGAGUCCCGUGGGACGAGAUGAGCCUAAAGGCUCCGAGCUAGCUGCUAACCAGCUUAAAUGUGGUGCUUGCGUAAACUUGAUACAAGGAGCUUACGUACGAUACGGGCGAAUAUGAUGUUGGGUUCUCACAAUGUCAAAAAGUAAUAAUAUCAUGAGAACCGAAAUUGGGUGUCCCUACAGGCACCCGAGAAUCGAUGCUCGAGAUCUAAAGCCCUGCGGGCAAAAUUGAAUGCUCGGAACUACUUUGAGAAUCGUGAGUUGAUGCGUAAUGAGAGUUGAACUCCUCUUUAUAGAGUUUGAAAUGAAUGACCUUACGAGGUCGAAGCCAAAAAAAACUUGAUGGUAUGCGACUUAAAAAAUCAAAAAUUGAUCUGUCCAAAAAAUUAUGGAUUAGGUGAAGACUGACUUUGACUAAGUGUAAUCUUGGUGCCGCACAUACGCGUAAUUACAGAACGAAUAACGCGCGUACCGUGACACUUAGCUUGUUUUACUUGAUUUUGUGUUGUCAAUAACAAGUUUUUAGGCUUUGAGUUUAGUAUCAAUUUACAAGAAUGAAUACACGUGGCAAUGUUGGAAAAUGAGGAUGUUGAAAUUAUGCUUCAGUUUCUGGUUUCGAGUUGAAUUUGUGCGUGUUUUAUUUUUUUUAAAUUUAUUUGAUAAAAAAGAUUUUAAAUUUAAUAUCGGAAAGUGUUUAUUUUAGCGUGUGUAUAUAUAUAUAUACAUUUAUGGCCACAAGAGGCUGCUUGGCAUUAAUUCUAUAAAAGAAAUACUCAUCAGACGGAUAAUAUUACAUCCAAAUAUAAUAGAAUGCUAAGUAUUCUACGAAAUACAAACACACAUCAUUCAUCAGGCUUUAAAAAGAAAAAUCACAUCCUAGAUCCAAGGACCCACAACCAUACACAUGAUGUUAAUCUAAAAUUGACCUCAACGAUAGCCAAACCCUAGGAAAAUGCAAAUUUCAGACCCAUCUGAAGAAACAAUAAAAAGACUCCUCCCUCAAGCGACGACUUCCUCUUCUAUUUCUUCCUCCUCCUCAUACUCAUCCUCCGCGGUUGCAUCCUGGUAUUGCUGGUACUCGGCAACUAAAUCAUUCAUGUUACUCUCAGCUUCAGUAAACUCCAUCUCAUCCAUUCCCUCACCAGUGUACCAGUGCAAGAAAGCCUUCCUCCUGAACAUCGCCGUAAACUGCUCACUAACCCUCCUAAACAUCUCCUGUAUUGAGGUUGAAUUUCCAACGAAAGUGGCUGCCAUUUUCAGACCCUUAGGUGGGAUGUCACACACGCUAGACUUGACAUUGUUAGGGAUCCACUCGACAAAGUAUGAUGAAUUCUUAUUCUGGACAUUAAUCAUUUGUUCAUCAACCUCCUUCGUGCUCAUCUUACCACGAAACAUUGCAGAAGCAGUUAGGUAACGGCCAUGGCGUGGGUCAGCAGCACACAUCAUGUUUUUGGCAUCCCACAUCUGCUGGGUCAGUUCAGGCACAGUCAGGGCCCGGUACUGUUGUGAUCCUCUGGAUGUCAAGGGUGCAAAUCCAACCAUGAAGAAGUGUAGUCGUGGGAAAGGGAUAAGGUUAACUGCCAGCUUGCGGAGAUCAGAGUUCAGCUGUCCAGGGAACCGCAGACAGCAUGUCACACCACUCAUUGUAGCAGAUAUGAGGUGGUUAAGAUCACCAACUGAGUCAAGUUAAAAAGAAGAAGAACAUAAGCAGAGAUUACAGCAUGUAUACUCUGGAAAUUAAUUCCAUUACAAGAAGCCACUUAAUAUUUUUCAAGAAGAAACACAAGAAAAUACUAGUUAUUAUCCCAAUUCAUUGAAACAAAUAUUAAGACAUUAAUUCCUGUCACGUCACAUUCUUUUAUGUUUGUGGGGACAAAAGGUGGGUGAAUCUUUGGGUAAGAAAGAAACUUAUGACCAACCCGACUAAGACUUAGUAACACAGUUAGGAGCUAAUAUGCCAGCAAUUCCUUAAUAAUUGAGCAAGCUAGCAACCAAUAAAUAAUAACUUUGUCAAUUCUUGUUCAUAAAGACCCAGAACAGGAAGGUAAAGCAGCAUUAUCAAAUUAAUGCCAUUACAUGUUUUAUUUUUAAAUUGUUGAAGGAAAAACUUGCAGCUUGUUACGCAAAGCUAAAACCCUAUGUUGCAUACAGUAGGCAUCUAGAAUGAUAGAUCAGAACUUACAAGUUGGAGUGGCAAGCUUGAGAGUGCGGAAGCAGAUGUCAUACAGAGCCUCAUUGUCCAACACCAUACAUUCAUCAGCAUUCUCGACAAGCUGAUGAACGGAAAGGGUAGCAUUGUAUGGCUCAACAACUGUAUCAGACACCUUAGGAGAUGGGAAGACCGAAAAUGUCAACAUCAUGCGAUCUGGAUACUCUUCCCUAAUCUUGGAAAUAAGAAGGGUUCCCAUUCCAGAUCCAGUACCUCCACCCAAAGAAUGACAAACUUGGAAUCCUGUCCCAAAGGCACGUAAAGUGAGAUUUGAAGAUAGACAGGCUUUUUAUCUUGUGGGUUUGCAAGGCAAAUGCAAGUUGAGAAAACCAAAGAAAAAUUUAACAGGAUCACAAAAGAAAAUGAAUGAAUAGAUAAGACACUGGCCAAUAUGAGCAAUUAGAAAGGGUUAUCCAUGCAGGGAUUUGACCAUCUAUUGGUAGCAAAAAAGCACUAAAUAUGAUAUCAAAUACGAAAGCAAGAACAAGUACAAAGGUUAUUGACCAAAUUAAAAAAAAAAGAACAAGUUCAAAAUUAGAAGUUAAGAGUGUAGGAAGGAACCAAGCCACAAUAAAUCAAGAUACUCUAAUCACUUUCACACAUGAUUACAGAAAACAUAAACAAAUGGCUCAAAUAAUCUCUUUAAAUCAAAUUGAGGACAAGCUUACAACAUAUGGUCUCUAUACAAACAAACCAACCAGUACAGCUUUGAUGGGAAUUGUAAGAAAAGAAAAAGGAAAGGCUUGUUUUCCAACUUUGAGGGAAUAAAUAAAUAAAUAAAUAAAUAAAAUACUAAUUACAAAAAAGCUAAAUGCAAAAUCAGACCAUAAUGCAACCACAAUCAUUUCAAAGCAAGAGGUGAAAACAAAUAUCAUUUGCUCCUAAACAAUGAAAGAAAUAAACACUUAGCCUCAAUGGCUUAACAAAUUCCUUUAUAUAUAUAACAAUUUUACUUCAAAAUAGAAAUUUUCAAUAGGCAUAACAGACAAGAAGACAUAGCCCGGACUGAAACAGACAAUGAAUCUGAACUAAAAAACAAAAAUAUCCUUAAAAGCCCCAAAAGUGAAAAAAAUGAAAAUAAAAGAAACGUGCUGGGAAAAGACCCAAAAUGCCUCACUGAACCCAUGAUUAAAGAACAAACCAUAUUUUACGAAAGCAAAAAUUGAGGAAAAAUAAAAGAUAAAUUUAACAUAAAAACUAAUAAAACAUGAAAAUUGAUUAAAAAAACUCAGAUCUCAACAAAAUGAACUAAACCCAUAUGCCGAAAAUGUAUGAAAAAAAAGUUUGUACCCUGCAAACAAUCACAAUUCUCAGCCUCUUUUCUGACAACGUCAAGAACAGAAUCAAUAAGCUCAGCUCCUUCGGUGUAAUGACCCUUGGCCCAGUUGUUCCCAGCACCAGACUGGCCGAAGACGAAGUUAUCGGGGCGGAAGAUCUGUCCAAAAAGACCAGAUCUGACGGAGUCCAUAGUACCAGGUUCGAGAUCCAUGAGAACAGCACGUGGGACAUACCUUCCACCACUGGCUUCAUUGUAGUAGACAUUGAUACGCUCGAUCUGUAGAUCGGAGUCACCGCUAUACCUUCCAGUGUUGUCAAUACCAUGCUCGUCGCAUAUGACUUCCCAGAACUUAGCGCCGAUCUGGUUCCCACACUGACCUCCUUGGAUGUGCAAGAUUUCUCUCAUUUUUUUUCUUUGUCCUCGGGAAUGUGAUGGGAGAGGGAAAUUGGGUUGCUUUGCCUUUUGAUGGGAAACGGAAGGUUGGGAGUGAAGGAUGGCCAGUAAAAUUUGCUUUCGAUAGAUGACGAUGAAAAUAGAAAGUCAACACAGACUUUUGUUGGAAAAAUGCUUCUAUUUAAAGCGUUUGUGAGUUGUAAUAACAAUUCUUUUUUUGUGUAAUAAACUAAUUUGAAUACCAACAAAUAAUUGACUUAAUGGGUUAAAUUUAUUUUUUUACGAAAAAUUUUUAUAUUCAAGUAUCACGUGUGAUUAUUUAUUGAAAUCAUAUCGAAUAUAUAAUUUAUAAUUAUUUAUUUUAAAUUAUCAGAUACAACACAUUUUAUUUUGAUUUAAAAAAAUAAAUAAUUUAUCUACGACAUAAAUUUUUUCUUAAAAAAAAAAAAAACUGAAUUGCAUUUAUUUAAAUGGACUGUUGUUAGUAUUUUUAUUUAAAUAAAAAACAUGUGAUAAAUUUAUAUAAAUAAUAAAGUGGAUAAAUCUUUUUAUCGUAUUAUUUCUUAAAUCUUAAUGCAAAUUUUGAGUGAGUCGUUUAGAUGAUUUGGAUUGCAAAUUGCUUGCUUUUGGAUUCGGUUCCUCUCCAGUCUCUAUAUCUUCGGCCUUCGAUAACCUUUUUCUGUUUUGGGCUUAUUACAUAAAUUUUUGUUCCAAAAAUUUAUCUACCCACGUUGUAACAUCAGAUAAUUGGUUUUCUUUUAAUAUGAUUAUUUUGCCUUGCCAUGCUUGAUUUGUAAACGUUGGUUUUAAUGUAUUUUUAUACUAGGGGUUUUAAAAUGUUUUACAAAAUUGACAAAUUUUUAUUCCAAAAUUUAAAAAGAAUAAUCGUGAAAAAUAUUUUGAAGUCUGAAACAGAAGCAAACAACUGCCAUUCUAAAAUGGAAAAAACACAUUCAACUGUUACUACAAAAGAGGAGUUUAGUUAUGGUUCUAGUUGGCCUUCACACUCGGUCAAACAAGAUGAUGCGAAUUUACAGCAUUGAAGUACAAAACAAUGAAGAUACACAACACCUUCAUAAGUGCACCACUAACAACAAAAUAAGAAAAACAAAUUUUGCAAUAAUCCACAAAAGCUAAUACUGAGUUCAAGACGCAGGUUUCCCUUCCCUCUUCAGUAAUUCCUGAUUAAAGUAUAUGUCAGAAUUAAUAUUUUUUUAUUAUUUUUUACAAAAGCAAUUGAUACUGACUUUAUAAUACCUACCUGUUUGGUAGCGGCAAUUGAGACACGCUGCCUUUCUUUUUUCUCACGUUGGCACUCUCCACACCAGCUUGAGAAAUCUUUCUGAUAUUUCCUCAGCUCACGGAACACCGAACUAUAAUAAAAUUUUGCAUGCACUUUAAACAGUUGGCCAAAAUAAAAUAACUUUUUUUUGCACCAGUUCUCAACCUCAUCAUUCAAUUUAAGGAAUGUGCACCAACAUGAACUGCAACAGUUACACAAUUAAGACACCAGACAGCAUCCGAUGUCUUACACAUUGAACCAUGAAAUUGUUCAAAAUUGAUAGUAACAUCAAAGAAACCAUGAAAAUAACACCAUUAAAUACUAGAUUAAUUCAUCUUAUUUGACUUCCUUGACAGGUUUCGAACAACACAAGGACGACACAGCCACAACUAUUUCUGAACAAAACCUUUAUUCAUACUUUUGUCAGGAAAUAUGGAAAAUAAGUCCUAGACAACUCCAUUAUAAUGUUCUUUCCAACAAAAACAAGAUAGAGAAUUCAGGUGGUACAAAGCUCCAAGGAUUAAAGUCAGUCAUCCAUUGAUAUUUUAUUACAUUUCAACUCCAUAAACAAGUCUAAAUUUUAAAUCUAGUCCAAUAAAUACAUCAAUAUUCUAAAUUCUUUGGCUUCCUCUAAGAAUUCUUCUAUACUGUUCAUCAUAUUUCAGUAUUAAAUAUUAUAUUAAGAUAUUCAAAUGCAAACCAAUGAGUAAGUUUAAUCAAGUGGUAAUCUCUUUCCAACCUGCUACAUUACAACCUGACCUAGUGUAUUAUAUGUUUGGUGUAUUUAUACUAAGAAGUGUAAGAAAAAGAUACCUUCUGCACCACAAAAGUAAGUUGACCCGAUGACCAGAUGUUGUGGCUCUUGCACCAUGCCUAUGGCGCCCACGAUGAAGAACUGCAUGUCCAGGAACAUGGAAAUAAUCCAAAAUUUCCUAUAAAGCACAAUAAAGAGAACACAUUAAAUGGGCAUUUUGUUACAAUGACUAACAAAUUAACACCAGAAAAGGUACCAUGGCCUACAUCUUUUCUUCAAUGAACCAAUAUCUGCUAACCAAUUUAAAUACCAUAUGCCUACCCCAUGUUGUCUAGGAAAAUUACAAAAUGAAAGGGACACCUGCAGCCAUUUUGUUUAAAUUAUUUGUAAUCUCAUGUUCUCACUUACAAAAGAAAGUAGUCUGAUAUUGGAUUCAAAGAAGCAUAAUAGGUUAUCUUGAUAUUUCACUUUAAUAGAGAAGUAAAAAUAUAUAGGGGAGGGGAGAGAGAUGGUGCUGCAUCAGAGAUGGGGUGGUUCUCCUUGUUAACUUGCUACUACAAGGAACUUUUUAUCAAACUGACACUAAACUUCAUCCUAAUGCUUUCUAGCGCAUGCAAUUACAACUAAAUGGUUAAGCCAAAGGAAAGCUUCAGUUCCUGUGACUUAAAAUGAACAGCAUAAAGGAAGAAUUAAUCAGAAGGAUUAGCAUACAUCGGACUGGGUUUCCGUGUUGACAUGUUUAUCACAACGAACACCUCGAAAGAACAAGUCUCCACCAGAAAAUUGUUUACCCAAGCAAACAUUUAAGGUGACUUCUGAAUCAUCCACGUGGAAACCUACAAACACAAAGCUACAGAAGUUUGUGAAGCUACAACUUUAACAAGAAGAUUUUAAGCUACACAACUCUAAGAGUACUACCAAUAGAAGAAAAGAUAAUACAAAGGUUUUAUAAACAAGCAGAUUAAUGGAACAAGCAUCAAUGAUUAUAAUUUUAACGUGCACCAAACUAAAAAUAUUUGCAAGAAAAGAUAGCCAACAUGCCAAAAUUGUAGUAAUCAUGAGAAAAGAGUUAAUGAGCAUGAAAUUUAAGAAAAUAGAUGAUGCCAUCAUUUAAUAAGGAAAGAAGUACCAAGCAAUGCACAAAGCAAAGUCAGGAAUUUCAGAAAAUUAAAUUGUGCAAUACCUUCUGAACACUUAAAUUCUAAAAUCCAAAGAAUCAUCAGUUUUCAUCUAUCGUAGCUAACACUUUAAUCUCCUAAGUGUAGUGGAUGAUAAAUAUCACAGCUUAUAUCACAAACUAUAAACUUUCAUCAUUCAGAGAACUAAUAUAAUGGAUUUAAUUAAAAUGAAAAAAGAAAGAAGUUAGAACCUACCAAGCUCAACAUCCCUGUCAAUUCCAUAUUCAACAACAAAACCAUGAUGAGAAUCCAGUGUAGAUCCACCCACGUCAGAAAAGAAAACUGCAGAACAUUUCCCAUGAUAUUAAAAAAAAAAAAGGUCUAGGCUUUAACUCUAAAUAUAUAUAUAUAUAUAGUAACAUCCAUUUACAAUCUCAAGGCAGAUGGAAAAUUAAAUACUUUUGGAUAUAGGUCGGAUAAAGUCCUCCAUCAACUUGUCAAGCAUGGUCUCCAGACCAAAGUCAUCUAAAACAGCACCAAAUUUGUUCAUUGUGUUUGGUCGCAUGAUUCUGAAUUUUGUCUCAUGGACCCAUUUUUCGAAGUUUUCUACCUAAGCAAUCAGAACCUGAUAAGAAAAAUAUAAAAACUAAAAAAAAGAAAGUUAAAGUAAAAAAUACCAAAGAGAAGAAGGCAAUGAUAAUACCUCAGAUAACAACAAUUCACAGAAACAGGGCUGAAGCAUUUCAAAUGUAAAAACCCCUAGAGCAGGUUCAGCCAUUAUACUUCUAAAACUUUCCUCUUUAUUCUCAUUAAUUGCUUUGAGAAAUGAGGGGACAAAGAAGUUUGAGGCAUGCAUGGCAUACAAUUCCCUAUGCAGAGGCUGCAAAAUGUAGAGAUCACUUAAGCAAAAAGUUGUUUAUAUAUAAACCUUAUGAAGAUAAUAUACCAAAUUACACUGUGCCAGACAUAAAUUAAUUAUUCCAGACCAGCUUGAGUAAAGUAAUCCUAGUAAAAUAGUAAUUACACUUGGUACCUGAUAGUGUGAUAUAAUCUUUUGCCUGUAUUCUCGAUGCCUUUGAACCUGUUCAAAAAGGUUUUUUUUUUUGGAUCAAAUGUUCAAAACAGUUUUAAAAUAGUGAAAAAAAAGGUACAUCUAAAUAGAAAAGGAAAAUUAAGAGAGAUAGUUAUCCACAGACCAGAUAGCUAGCAUAAAUUAGUGGUUCAGAAAAAAGUCUCAAUGUUCAGAAAUGAUAUAAGCAUAAAGAUAUAGAUUGAAACUUAAAAUUGGUCCAAUGACAAUUAGGAAACAUAAAAGCCCUUUACAGAUCAAUUAAUACAUCAAUUCAUCCCAAUUCAAACAUUAACAACACUCAGCAGGUGAUAAAUCCGCAUUAAGACAUUAAAAUUCCCUUUUUUUUUUCCGUUGUUCAAAGUAUAUGUUCUCCACUAUUUCUCAAUCAAUCAAUCAAAAAUAGAGUUAAAAACAAUAAUACUUCUUAGCAUUCCUUUAACUUAAAAUUUGUCACAGACCAAUCAUAUUCAGUUUCCAGAGAAAACUUUUAAAAGAAAAAAUAUAUUCCCUAUAUUUUAUUAUAAAAAUUCAUCUGAUUAACGUAAAUAAUAUCAAGAAAUUACAUUAUCAUUUCAUAACAACAUUCUUAAGCAAAGAAACAUUCGAACAAGAAAUUCAAACAUAAACUAAUAAAAUGCAAAAAUUAAGGCAAUUAAAAAAGAAAAGAAGAUUACGCGAGUACGUUCGCCUUCAGGAGAGUAACGAAGGAUAAUAUCGCGCAUGUAAUGGAGCUUGGAGUCGCGAGAGUGUGAGAGCAUCGGAGGAGGCAAGUAACGUUCCAGGGAGCUGAACAGAAGCGGACUGAACUCCAACUGCAAACCCUCGUAAGUCUCCGGCUUGUGCUCCGUGUUAGGGUUCAGCCGUAACCGGUGCGUAGUCGCCAUGCUCGGCAACACCGCCACGCCGUUUCCGUUAUGACCAGCACUUGGUGGCGUUGGUUGUUGGGUCUCUUUUCCAGACACAUCUAAAGACAUGAUUUUUUAUAUCCUUAUUUCAAGAUUUGGGAGAAGGAGGAAUCGGCUCGUUAUCGAGCUCAUAAACAGGCUCGUUCGGAAGCCCCUAAAAAACGAAUUUUCUAUCUGACCAAAAAGAAGAAAAAAAAAAUCAAAUCAAACACAUUUACCCUACCAAUAUUUCCCAACCAUUUCUAUCAAAGAAACGAAAGAAUGCAGUCACAAUGAAGAAAAGACUAACAGUAGCCAAAGAAAAAAAAAAUAAAAGGAUAAAGGAAGCUGCUGAAAGCCUGAAUUAACUUCUACAAGGGUCUGCUCAGAGUUAGGGUUUUAAGGAAUUAAGUUGGCACCUGAAUUGUGAUAGGUAUCCUACCCUUUAUCCAAGAGUAAGUUAGAGGAUAUUUUAAUAAUUUUAUUGUAUUAAAAAUAAAACAAAAAGUUUUCAAAAAAUUUUAAAUACACUUAUAAAAUAUAUUGAUAAAAGUAUUCUUCAAUCUCAUAAUUAUAUAUACCUAAAAUUUAAAAUAUAAAUUAAUAUUUUUAGUUAUAACAUUUUAUCUUAACAUUUUAUAUUUUCAUUCAUAUGUUUAACACUUAUCCUUUUUUUCAUUCUCUUAAUUUUUUCUUUUAAACUCAACUUAAAACCAUCAAACAAACCUUUAAAUUACAAGUUUUUUUAUUAUUUGAUCUAUUUAAUGUAAGAUUUAGUUGUUGUUGUUGAUUUAUUUGAUAAAUUUUUUAAAGUUUAUAAUUUAAGUUUACGAGAUUUUUUUGGUAAAAUUGAGUAUUAUGAAACCUUUAAAAAGUUACGAAAAUCCAUUUUCUUAAGUUUUAUAAGACUUGUGGAUGUGAAUAAUUGUAAGCCUUUCAUAGCUUUUAGAUAUUCAUUUUCAUGAGCUUUGAAAUGCUUACGGAUAUUUAAAUCUGUAAGUCUUUUAAAGCUUACAAAAAUUGAAGAAUUUGAAUAUCCGUAAGCUUUUCAAAGCUUGUGAAAAUCUAUUUUCAUAAGUACAAAGUUGAAAUGAAUUUUGUUUAAGUUAUAUGGGUUUAUUGAAAUGUUGCAUUUUGUACUAUGUCACAAUAGAUAUGGCUUGAACGAGAGUUUGAUGUGUUCAAACAAGAGGUAAGGGCAUUAAUAGAGGUGUUAGACGUAUAACAGCAGAUCCUAGUCUAAGUCAGGUGCGUCUUAUUGCCUUUAAGAAGAGACAUUAAAUCCAAGAAGAUGAUAACGAGUUGGUGAAAGACCAUGCAGGGGAUGAUAUUCCAUAAGUUCAACUUUUUACGAAGAACCUAUCACCCACGAGCAUUAUGAUAAAGGUGGAAAUGACAAUGCAAAGCAAGUUUCUUAACCUUUUCCUAGAACGUCCGAUUGAUAUGUCUAUCAUUUAGAGUUUUGAAUCUCAUGUUGCAUUGUAAAUAUGGAAUGGCUAGUUAAUCACUUAAAUCAUAUACUAUGAUAGUAUUAGUUUGUGUUUUUAAAGUGAAUUAGUUGAUUGUUGUUGUUAAUAUUGUUUAUGUUGUUGCUGAUCUUAUUAUUGUUAUUGUUACAUGAGCAAAAUUCAUUGAAAUCGAUUAAUUAUUGACUUAAAUUACAAUAAUGGCAAUUAGACGAUGCACGUAAACAUAUAUGAGCCAACGUAAUCGAGUUAAGGUUGGAUUUAUGUAUUGAUUGUACCUAUCGUUUGAUGAAUAAUACGAUAGUAUUAGUUUUUGUUGAAAGAUGAUAACUUAAAACCAACACAUUUCCUUUACCAUUUAAAGAAAUGCUAUCAUGUGAGAUGAUGUGUUCGCAAUUCUACACAUUUCAAUCAUCAUGGCCAUGAUUUUAGUUAAUUAUUUGACGAUCGACGAGGCAAACACACUAUUGAUCAGGUUCGUUAGAGUUUCUGCAUUUGAAGAGCAACAAAGACUAAUUGGGUUUGCUGACCUAUUCUAAGGCUGCAGUGGCUAUGGAAUACUCUUAAAAAUGUAAUAGAUACAUCAGAUGAUCAGGUAAUAGAGUAUGCAUUUAGGAUUUUUUUACUCUAUUUGCUAGGGUGUACAUUGUUUCUUUAUAAGAGCAUGACAAAAGUAUCGAUAGCGUACUUAACCUUACUGAGCAACUUCAAUGCCAUUGGUAAAUAUGUUUAAGAGACAGCUUACCUGGCAUAUUUAUACAAAUAGAGCUCGAUUGUUUUGUAUGUUUUUGAGAAUAUUUUAUUUAGUGGAUUACAGAAGAAUGUUGAUGUAUUAAGAGACAUAGUUAUCAUAGCACAUACUAUAUUGUUUAGGUUAUUAAUUGCAACAACUAAUAGUAGUCAAUCUAGAUUGGUAGUACUACAUCAAACAUCAACUCCUGCACCAUUUUUCAAGCGUUCAAACCACCUUUGCUCAUUCAGUCUAGAUCAUCAGCAUUGAGACAUGCAUUGACGAAGCUGCCCGUGCCUACUCCAUCCCUAAUUCCAUUAUCAACAUAUGCACUACCUAGGUUGCCUGUGCUUGCUUUGUCCCUCCCGUAGUAGCAACGACAACAUUGACCUUGCUUGCAAGCUUUUUCCCAUUACAUUGAUGAUAAUAUUAGCCCUACUUGAGAGCUCCACACCUACUACAUUGACAGCAGCACAACCUGUUCAUCCAUAGUGUGUAUAUAUAUAUUUGAUUUAAAAGGUCGAGGGAGAGAGAGCAAGGUAUUAACACUAUGGAGUAGGAUAGUGAUUUUGUAACUUUAUUAUUUUUACUUAAUAAAGUAUGUUUAUAAAACAUUUAUUAGAUUAUGUUGUAUUUAUAAAACAUCAUUAGAUAAUAUGUUUAAUAUAACACAUCUAUUAGAUAACCUGUUCAAUAUAGCACAUUCAUUAGAUUAACUGAUCAAUAUAACAUAUCCCAUUAGCUAAUAUGUUCAAUAUAUAUACAAUAUUAAUAUAAACUGUUAACAUAUAGAUUAAUUUACUAAACAAGUAUUCUAAAUAAUCAAUCAAUAUUUAUUGUUUUUUAAAUGACAUCAUCAGAAUUUGUACUAAACAAUAACUUGAAAUCCUCAAUACGAGGUAAUAUGGAAUCUUUCACCAUCGAGCACAAUUAUAUGAAUCUUAUGAUAGUUACAUGCAAUUGGAUGUAUUAGUGAGAUUGGUUUCAUUAACAUCUGCACAAAAUAAAAAUGAUAAGUAAUGUGAUUAUCAAUAAUAUAAACGAUAGGUAUCAACUCUAAUUACCAUUACUUGCAUAAAAUGAUAAUUAUUAACAAAUCUAAUCGCAAUGACUCUGUGCUCCAAUGACAAAAAUGGUACAGAUCUAAUAGAGAAAUAUAUUAGGUAUUGUCUCAAACUGAUGUGGACUAGCACAACGUUAUAUUGUCCAUAAUCAGGAUAAUUUCAAGCAAUGUCAUCUGAAUGGAAGUCACACCAACAAUUUCAAGCAAUGGGAGAUAGUAUCUAUUUGUUUUAUAUAUGUAAUUGUUAGCUCAAAGAUUUAGAAUAAACUAAGAGGGGGGUGAAUUAGUUUUAAUGAAGUUUUCAAAAACAAUAUUCAAUAAGCACAAAUUUUGCUAAACAAUUAAACAUAAUAAUUGAAAGUAAAUAAAAGAUAGAGAUAGAGAUAGAGAUAGAGAUAAUAACAUCGCGAUUUAUAAAAGGUUCAGUCCUUUCUUAGGCACCUACGUCCUCUCCCUUAGCCUUUCGUGCCAAGAAGUUCAAUCCACUAUAAGUGUUGAAGAUUACAACCAAGCUUCUCUAAGCUUUACAAACUCAACACAAUAUACUCUUAAGGGUUAUCCUCCUCCUUAAGCUUAUAAACUCAUAAAACAGAAAAAUAAAGUGUUUUGCAAACUCUAAGAACCUCACAAAGGUUGGGUGUUUGCUAAGUUGAAGUACACAAAGGUAUAGACAAGAGAAUGAUGAAUGAACAAUAAAAAUAGUUUGGAUACAAUAAAUACAAAGAUAUAGACUUUGAAGCUCUAAAAACUCUUGAUUAUUUGAGAGAAUAAAAAUAUUGCUUCUUAACUUUUGCUUUCUUGAUUCUUCUAUUUUCUUAGUGUGUUGGAGUGCCCCCUUUAUAGAUAAAUUGAUGAACUAACCGUUGGGAAAGUUUGGAGUGAAGAAAUGCUCGUUGAAAGCAUGAAAAAGUAGCCGUUGGAGCAUUUUGGGCAAGAACCGAUCGAUCCCUUCCAUGAGGGAUCGAUUGGUUCAUGUUUUGAACCAUUUUUCACUUGAAAAUUGCCUAACCGAUCGAUCUCCUAUGUGGGGGGAUCGAUCCCUUUUUGGAAAUUCAGUCUUGGGGCAUUCUGGUUGAAAACCAAUCAAUCUUUUCUAGAGGGGAUCGAUCCUAUCCAUGCUGGGUGGUAGUUUCAUGUUUUGUACUCUACUCAUUAAUUUAAUCAUAACUUGAGUUAUACAAAUACAAAUUACAAACCGUUUGAAGAUUUAGAAACUAUACUUAAAGGAUCUUCUAUCCAUGUAAAGUACAUCACCUAAUUCACCGUGUAAGAAUUAUAGUGAAUUUUUAAAGUUAUCCAUUGUGCAGUUUUUUUUACAACUACAGAGUGUCUAGUAAAAAUUCAAAAUCUUUUCUUAAAAAAUUUGGAUUUUAAUUUUGUUUGAUCCAUUAGAAAGUAGACUCAAAGAGCUUUCCAACCAUAUAAAAUUCAAAUAUUAAAACUUUGUGAAUUAAUAUAGAAAAAUAAAACAAAUUCAAUAUUGGAAAAUUGUGUUCUUGUAAAACAGCUUUCAUAAGUUAAUCUAUUUCUCAAAAUCAAUAUUGUCAAAAUUGUAUUAAGUCCAAAAUGAAUAAGUUCACUUUAAAAACAACAAUUGGACUUUCAUUUAGCUCAAAUAAAUAAUCUUUAAAGAUAGAUUUGGUUUGAGAAAUAUGAAAACAAAGAAAGGUUUGUUUAAGCUUUGAAAAUCAUAUUAUUUAUUUAGUACCAAAAUAUAAAACUUAAGAACAUGUACUAAAUAAAUCUUUUUCAAAAUCUUAAUCAAGUUUAUUUAGCUUUAAUGUUUUGUCAUUUCAAAAUAAGGAUCAAUUCAAGGCCAACAGUAAUUCAUAAUCAUGACACUUAUGAAGGUUUUAACAAAUUUAUAUCAAUAGGAUGAGCCCAAAACAAGUCUCUCAUACGAUCACUUGACUUAUUAGUUUCAUGCCACUCCAAGUAUUUACAAUUGGUUAACUUCUUUAUGAGUUGUUGUAUUUGUUAUCUACUAGCUUUAUUAACAUAUAUGUAUUUUUUAUGUUCAUUGUAUAUUAUCUUUAUAGUGUUGACAUUCUUUUCAUUAUGUUAUUUAUAAUCAAUGGUAUGUUUUUGGGUUUGACUAUAUCGUCUAACUAUCAGCCACUAUUCUUUUUUUUUUCAAAUAAUCGAUCUGUAAAUGAAUGUGAAACCCGUAGAAUACUUUCACGCCUCACUUAUUAUCCAUUGCCAACUUAAUCCCAUGUAAAUCAAAUGGGCAACAACACUUUUUUGUUCUCAUUUUCUUACGUUGCAUUUUUUUUACCUUACCCAUAUUCUUUUGCUACAAGUAUUUUCCACUUCGUCAAUCUUAUUAUAGGUUUCUUCGUUACACUUUCCAAUGCAAAAUUUUUAAUCACAAUUAUAAAAUCAUUAUCUUUUCUAACUUGCCUAGCCCGUGAAAUCAAGACUUCUCUAUUACAAAACACAUGCACAACAUAUUUAAUUUAUUACAUUUAUACAAACUAACAUUUUAUGGCUUUAUAACAAACUAACCUAAAAAAUAUAAUCUUACCUCUUUUGUAGUAAAUGAAUCCAUAUAAUUAUAUCUGAUAUCUAAAUUUUUUGUUGAUUGAUUUCACUCUAUUAGUGUAGUUCUCAAAUUGAUUUGCUUAUUACAAGAUAUUAAAAAAUUAUAAUAAUACUAUUAGAAAGUGAAAAUAGGAACUAAUUUUGCAUUAAUGGAUAUGCAUAUAAGAGACAUUUUUUACUUUAACGCAUAUGCAUAUGAUUUUUGGAUAUGUAUAUCCAAAAUGAAAUAUUGUAUUACCGUAAAUGUAAAUCCAAUAACGCAUAAAUAUUACUGAAAAUGCAUACUCAAAAAUCAUAUUGUAUUUUUGGAUAUACAUUUACGAUAACAUAAGAAACGUACAAAAUAUACAUAUUCAGUAAUGCAAUAUUUAUUCAAGAUAUUUAUUUUCAUAAACAUCAAAUUUUCAAUUUAAAAUGAGUUUUAAAAGAAUUACUUCAUCAAGAUGCAUAUUAACCCCUCCAAUUUUGUUUCCCAUUUGGCUAUCCAUUUUUACAAGAUUUAAUAAUUGUUUAAAAGAUUUAUGGUUUGUUUUAAAGAUUUAGGGUUUCUGAUAUCAGGAAAAAGAAAAAAGAAAGAAGGAAAAAAAAGAGAAGACAAAAAAGAGAACAAACAAAAUUUAAAAAAAGCAUAAUGGGUUAAAAAUAUAUUUUACUAAAGGAUAUAAAGUUAUUUCAUAUUUUGGUAUUUUUGGAACCAAAUAUUGAGGUAUAUAAAAUAUAUUUUGUCGUGUAUAUAAAAUCUACCAAAUUUGUUUUUGGGUUUUUUAUAUUUUUGGGCCAUGAAUAUGGGCUUUUUAUUAUCCAAGUUGCUUUGUUCAAUGUGGAGGCCGAAACUUAGUCUACAAUCUAAAUCAAUAUUAAAUGAGUUCUUGAAAAAAGAUUACAAGUUUGAUGAUGCAUAUUCAUUCAUUUAUACAUUGUUAAAUUAUUUUUGUUAUUAAUAAUUUUCUUUUAUAGACAAUCUGUAGAUUUAAUAUAAGUCUAAGACCUAUGGUCUGCUGUGACCUUGAACUAAAGAAACCUCCAUCAUCUUAUUAUUAUAAUUUUUUUUUUUGUAAAAAAAGAAAUACAAGUGAAUUGUUUUGUGGUAGUAUAGUUGCUAUAAGCGGCACAGGUAUCACUCCAUUAGAUUUUUAUUAUAAGGCCAAACUUUAAUUAGAUUCAAGACAUGCCAUUUAAAGCAAUUGAGAGUUAUCACCCAAUUUUUUAAUUGAAAAUCAAGAGUCGAUUAUAAGUAUUAAUACCACAAGUUUGUUUUAUGAUUAAAAAGGAUUAAUAGCGAAGUCGCAUCUAAAGUAUGUCUUUUGCACCAACGUCAUAAAAUAAAGAUAAAUUUUAUAUGAAAUUUUUUAAAUUUACAUUGUUCUUUCUUAAAAAUAAUUUAAUAAAUAUUUUAAUAAAAAAUCUAAAUCAAUAGAUUGAUACAGUUCAAUGUGAAUAUUAAUAAUAUAUAAAAAAAUUAUUAAAAAAAUUAUUUAUGAUUUAAAUUUUUUAUACUUAUUUAAUGAUAAAAAUUUUAUCAGUAUUUUUACUAAAAAUAUGCAUAUAAAAAUAUAUCAAAAUUUAUUAAAUUUUUUUAAAUUUUAUAUACUUGAUUUAUGAAACGAGAUCUUUUAAUCUAUCAACUUUAAUUUUUUAUUUUAAUUUUUAUUUAAUGAUUUCUAAUAAAAAUUUUUACGAAUUUUACAUAAAAACUUUAGCUAAAUCUUUUCCUAUAUAGAGGCUGGAUUGCUAAUGUUUUUUGAAAGGAUAAUAUUUAUGAUUAUGAAGUUUAGAGCCUUAUUAUAAGACUUGUUCACGAGAAAAUUGCCUAAUUGGUUUUGCAUUUUUCGAAUUUGCUCUUCCGUCAGGCAACCUCCAAGUCUCCACUCAUCGUAUCAGCACUCGAAACACCAUUAACAAGGACAAAAAUUCUUGUUUGUUCCAUGAAGCUCACAAGGUGACAUGUAUGGAGAACAAAAUCAAUCAAAACUUGUUAGCCGAUUUUCUAGCAGAUAAGUUGUACAAAUUAAAAUGAUAAAAAAAAAACUUCAAAUAUCAUUGAUGUACUGAAUUAAAUAAGUAAUUUUAAUUUCUUAGUUAACAUUUUGAACAUAUUUUUUUUAUUAAAAGUUUCCAUUAAUAGGUCUCAAUACGAGUUACCAAACACAUUGCAUAAAUAAAAUAAUUAUAAAUUAUAAAUUUUCUAUGAUAUUAUCAACCUCAAUUUUUUUUUUUGAUUUACUUGAUUUUGCUUUUACAAAUUUUUUUCAUCAUAGAAUCUCAAAAUAUUAACCCAAUAAUAAAUUAAGCUCAAAUGUUUCCCAUUUUUGAAUUCCAUGAUAGACAACAUCUUUGAUGAAAAGCUUUUCAUUUGUCUUAAAUUAUCUUAAGCUUAACGCUUCGUCACUAUUCGCUCCCCAUAUGCAUUUUGCUUGCAAAUGGCAAAUGUAACACAUUACUUGAGAUUUUCAAUAUAUAUACGACAAACUUAGACCUCACAAUUUAAACAAUAUGAACAUGGUAUUAAAAAAAUACAAAAGUAAUAUGAUUUAAAAUUUUAACAAAAAUCAUAUAUAAGUUUAAUAAAAAAAAAUAUAUUCUGUAUUUUUUGUAUUGAUAUGAAUUAUAAUACGUAAUUUUUAUAUAAAACACAAUAUGAGUACAUAAAUUAUCAUUGAUUUAUACGUUAUAAAUACACAAAUUACCAAUUAUACAAAUUCACAAAUAAUUCAUUUGGCCUCUAUCAAUAUCAUAUUAAGUGCAAUCUUAAAUUCCAAAUCUUGUAAUUCUUUAAACAAUAAAAACUUGUAAUUAUGUUAGACAACCAUAAGAUCUUCUGAAAUGAAGUUUUGAUCUUCAUAUGUUAAAGCAAAACUAGUAUGAUUUAAAAUUUUAACAAAAAUCUUAUAUAAAUUAAAAAAAAUGAAAAAAUAUAUUUUAUAUUUUUUAUGUUAACAUUAAUUAUGAUAUAUAAUUUUGUGUAAAAUAUGAUUCAAAUACAUAAAUUAUAAUUAAUUUACUCGAAAUAAAUAUAUAAAUUAUCAAAUAUUCCAUUACAUAAAUUAAUGAGACUAAUCAAACUGCAUUGUAACACUUGAAUUUCAAAGUUAAGUCAACGAACAUAGUAGAUUUAGAAUUGUAUAUGUAAAUUUACAGUUCAGAUUACAACAAACUCAAGUUCCCUUGCCAACAAAAACGUUGGACUCCAUAUCAUACCCAGGCUUGAAGGAGCAGAUUCAACCAUAACCCAAACUGCACAUGUGCCCAUUUCAACCAGACAGAGGCCAGCCAUCCCAGGAAUCUGGUUUGAGAUUCAGACAAGAGAACAGACAAAGAUCAUGUGCCCAUUUCAACAUCUCCCGAUAUAUCUUAGUAUCAAACACCAUACAAGUGUAAGCAAUAGUGCAACGCCUCGCCCUCCAACAAGUCCAGCAAGAACAAUCACAAACAGAAUCAGAUACCCUGAUUUCCCUUUUCUGACAUUUUCCACCUUGUCUUUAACUAUUCCCAUUUCUGAUUCCACCCAUAAAAGUUCCUCGAUUUCUUUGCAACUUUCUUCUUCUCUUUGUGAUUCAUCUUCUCCAUUAUCAUCAUCAUCAGCCAGCUCUUCUGGCUUUUCCUCUUCAAUCUCGUCCAUUUUAUGUAUAUCUACUCCCCAUUGAUUCUUGUUAUUGCUCUUCCCCUGCUUCUUUCCAUGGCGCAACUUCUUUGGAACAAAUUUCUUGAUAAAAUUUCUAUUAAUUCUGGCACUUCGACUACGCUCACUCUUACCUGUCAAGAUUUCCCUUCUUGUCUCCAUCUCCGAACUUUCACACCCCUUACCAACACCAACGCAAUCGAAUUUCGAUUCAGCAAUCUGAAUUUUCUCGACGCAAUCAUCUUCCAAUUCAAUCAACCCACAAGAAUCAGUUCCAUGUUGUAGCUUUGCAUUGCAGUGAGGGGCAGGGAAUGAUUGGGGAGGCGAUGAGGGUGGAUUGGUGGGAGCUGUUUGGCUCUGGGGACUAGAUCUUCUUUUGGGGGAUUUUCUCAAGCGAUCACGGUUCUUGACGAAGAGAUCGACGAGGGACGUUGGGAACCCAGUCUGCACCACAAGGGAUCUGCCGCGUUUGGGGGAUUGACGGAGGUCGGAAACCAGCCGGGAGAUACGAGUUAUUUUGGCUUUCUUCCAUGGAAAAGGCAUGGUAAAAAAAAAAAACAAACUGGGUUUUUAUUCUUUUUUGGUCUUUCUUGUGGUUCUUGUGUUGCUUGUUUGGUUGAAGGGAAAGUGAAUUGAAUUAAAAAUAAAAUUGGGUGAGGAAGAAAUGCAAAUGAGCAUAUCACAUGAUGCCUGUAUUAAAGCCCAGAAAAACAAGAAAGUGGUAGACGCGUGAAGGAGAUGGCUCGGUUUCAGACAAAAGUGGGGGGAAGUUGUUAUGGUUUUUUUCUCUCUUUGUCCGUCAAUUUUUAUUUUAUUUUUUUGGAUUAUUUUCUUAAAUCUAAUAUUUGGUAUUUGUUUCCUAAAAGCAAGAGGAAAUUCUAGUAUUUUUAGUUGUUGUAGGAGUAUUAGUUUUAAAAAGAUUUAUCUUUAGUAAAUUUGAUCCUUUCAGUUGUUUUCACUCCUCUUAUUAAGAUUACUUUUUCAAUCCUUUUUAUUUUUCUUCGUCUUUUAUUUACUUUAUAGAUCAUUAUUUUAUAAGUAAUGAAGUUUUUAAAUUUAGUAAAUCGAUUUAUAUAAUUGAUACAUAUUUAUUUAAUAAUCAUGUUAAUUUAUUAAUUUUUUUAAUUAUUGCCUAAUGUAUAUAUAAUAAGCCGACAAUUCUUGGUGAAAUUUUAAAAUUUUACUUUUAAUAUAUAUCAUAAUUUUUUGUCUUCAAAUACCAAAAUUUUUUUUUGUCUUUAAAUACCAAAAAAAAUC
rnacentral:lncRNA from 1 species